rnacentral:tRNA from 1 species
GACAACGUGGCCGAGUGGUUAAGGCGGAAGACUCGAAUCUCCAGAGACAUCUUUUGGGCUUUGCCCGCGCAGGUUCGAAUCCUGCCGUUGUCG